UUGUUGUUGUUGUUGUCCUGAUAUGCAGCAGUCACGAUAACUAAUGAAAACUCUCCCGGGAAGUAAAAGGGUCGACCGUCAGUAUUCCAAGACGGGUGAACAAUAGGUUUAGAUUUCCACUACGCUUGAGUCUACACACCAUCUGUUGUUGAUGAAGAGACAUACCUCUCCUCCUCUGAAUUUCCCUAAAUCCAAUUACCUGUCCAUUCAGAGAAUGAAGAAUCGACCCUUUUACCUCCCGAGAGAGUUCUAAUCUGUUAUCGUGACUGCUGUAUAUGAGGACAACAACAACAAGCUGGCACUUAACGAACUGUACAAGGAAACCAUGCACCCGGAGGCUGCAUUUCUUGUUGCCGUUGAUUUCAAUGAUGUGUCACUAAGACACGUGAUGGAUAGCCAUAUCGGGUAUCUUGUCCAAAACCAUGUUUCAGAAAAAAUGAUGAUCUCAAAAUGACAAGAGUCCCGGUCAUCCAUCUUAUUAUUGGCCAAUAGAAUGGAGGAAAGUGGUUCCCUUCGCCUUAGUCUCAACAGGAUGCCCGAUCUCUUGCCUCUUUUUUGCCGGCGUUUGCUCUUGGGUAGCCCGAAGAUUGGAUCGGAGGUACCUUAAGAGCCCAGGGCUGAAGAGUCUAAGUCAAAGUUGAAGCUGAAAUUGAGUCCACAGUCUCCACCACACUGCCUUUGGCCGAGUACACUAUUGUGUAAACAAUCAUACUUCUCUGUGGAGAGAGAGCGUGAGAGCGGCAUUGCAUGGCCCACGCUUUCCGCCUGUGGGUCAGUGGGCAAGGAUGGAGAGAAGUGGACGUGACAGAAAUUACACCAAGGCGAGGUCAGGCCGAGUCUUUGUCAUCAGCUAUUUUAGCACUGUCAAAAAAAACUGAUGAGAGCGAAGGAGGAAAGUGUUGACAUCAUCAUUCCGUGUGUUCCUGCCAUUUGCCCCGUAAUUCUUCAGAUUUGACAAUGAUCUGUGCAACAUGCCUUUUGAAUAACACUUGCUUGUUCUAAAAGAGAUGUUUGUUGUGCUUGUACAGCCAUACAGUUUAAGGUUAUGUCAAGCAUAGGGUACCUCUGGGAACACAUUGGUUGAAUCAACGAUGUUUCCAAGUCAUUUCAAUGAAAUUACGAAUGAACAUGUAUGUACUCACUACCAUAAGUCGCUCUGGACAAGAGUGUCUACAUUGUGUACAGAUAACUUGUUUGACCAGAUCAUGAACUGUAAAGGCAUGAUGUCUGCUAAAAAUACUCGUUUUACUGUAUGAGUAAUGCUGUAAAUGUAUGAUGAUGACCACUAGAUAUUUUGAAAUACACUACCGGUCAAAAGUUUUAGAACACCUACUCAUUCAAGGGUUUUUCCUUAUUUUUACAAUUUUCUACAUUGUAGAAUAAUAGUGAAGACAUCAAAACUAUGAAAUAACACAUUUGGAAUCAUGUAAUAACCAAAGAAGUGUUAAACAAAUCAAAUUAUAUUUUAUAUUUGAGAUUCUUCAAAUAUCCACCCUUUGUCUUGAUGACAGCUUUGCACACUCUCAACCAGCUUCAUGGAGUAGUUUCCUGGAAUGCAUUUCAAUUAACAGUUUAAGACAUUGUCUGCGUUCUACAUUUAAUACAUUCCCCAGUAAUAUGAUUUACAAAAACAAACUCUAUACAGUGAACAAAAUCAUCAUAACAUUAACAUGUAUAAUGGUUAUAUAUAUGAUUUUACUGUAGUUGUAUAGUUGUGUCAAGAUAUGGCAUUUUACAGCUAUUUUCCAUCCACGUCAGGUUUAUCCAUUGAUUUUGUAAGCUGAUAAUGUUGCUACAACAUAUUCGAUAUCUACAUUACCAUUCAAUAGACCGCUACCGGGCAGGGGUGAGCAAUUCCAGUCCUCUAGGGCCUGAUUGGUGUCACAGUUUUGCCCCAGUCACAGCUAACACACCUGACUCCAAUAAUCACCUAAUCAUGAUAUUCAGUUUCGAAUGCAACCUGAUUAAUCAGCUGUGUUUGCUAGGAAAGGAGAAAAAGUUGCCCACCCCUGUAGAGGCUCCUCAUUUGUUGACCUCACAUAUUCUCACCCAAAUAAGGGAUUUAGUGCCCUCUCAUGGCAAGAUUUAAAAAUACAUUUGUAAAUGAAUAGAUCUACUGGCACAGAAUAUUUCUUACGCUGAUUAACCUUGGUGUUUUACCAUAAAGACUCAGACUUUUCUGUUUCCAUUUACGUGGACCGGCACCCGUGUCCCACUGGGCCAUGGCUCCGGCGGACCUGCCGUGGGUACUUUUCAUCUUUAAUUUACAUUGGCUCCUGAGUGGAGCAGCGGUCUAAGGCACUGCAUUGCAGUGCUAGAGGCAUUGCUACAGACCAGGGUUUGAUCCUGGGCUGUAUCACAACCGGCUGUGAUUGGGAGUCCCAAAGGGCGGCGCAUAAUUAGCCCAGCGUCGUCCGGGUUACGGGAGGGUUUGGCCUCGUCAAAAAAGAAUUUGUUCUUAACUGACUUGCCUAGUUAAAUAAAGGUUAAAUAAAGUUUUAAUAAAAAACAUAGCAAUGGCUAACUGUGAACUUUAACACCUUCUCACUAGGGCUGGGCGAUAUAUGGCCAAAAUGUCACUGUAUUUAAAAAAUAAAAUAAAAACUGACAGUAUGAAGGUAUUUGGCAGUAUUUUAUAUUGUUUUAUAAUAAAAGUUCUAAAUGUGCUUUAUGAGUAGUGCAUGACCUUAGGGUGGCAACACAUACAUUCUAAGUGAUUUCAAUGGGGCUUUCUCCAUUCUGAUUGUUUUAUACUGUUCAAUUCAAC